AGUGAACGCUGGCGGUAGGCCUAACACAUGCAAGUCGAACGGCAGCACAGUAAGAGCUUGCUCUUCCGGUUGGCGAGUGGCGGACGGGUGAGGAAUACAUCGGAAUCUACUUUUUCGUGGGGGAUAACGUAGGGAAACUUACGCUAAUACCGCAUACGCCCUACGGGUGAAAGCAGGGGAUCUUCGGACCUUGCGCGAUUGAAUGAGCCGAUGUCGGAUUAGCUAGUUGGCGGGGUAAAGGCCCACCAAGGCGACGAUCCGUAGCUGGUCUGAGAGGAUGAUCAGCCACACUGGAACUGAGACACGGUCCAGACUCCUACGGGAGGCAGCAGUGGGGAAUAGUGGACAAAGGGCGCAAGCCUGAUCCAGCCAUACCGCGUGGGUGAAGAAGGCCUUCGGGUUGUAAAGCCCUUUUGUUGGGAAAGAAAAGCAGCAGGUUAAUACCCCGCUGUUCUGACGGUACCCAAAGAAUAAGCACCGGCUAACUUCGUG
rnacentral:rRNA from 1 species